GUUGCCUUCUGGGAACAACAUCCUGAUGUUGUCUGAGUGUGUGAAGCAAAAACUCCAGCAUCAGUGAUUUUGUUGCCAGCAGAA
rnacentral:pre_miRNA from 14 species